GAUGAACGCUGGCGGCGUGCCUAAUACAUGCAAGUCGAGCGAACAGAUAAGGAGCUUGCUCCUUUGACGUUAGCGGCGGACGGGUGAGUAACACGUGGGUAACCUACCUAUAAGACUGGGAUAACUUCGGGAAACCGGAGCUAAUACCGGAUAACAUUUGGAACCGCAUGGUUCUAAAGUGAAAGAUGGUUUUGCUAUCACUUAUAGAUGGACCCGCGCCGUAUUAGCUAGUUGGUAAGGUACGGCUUACCAAGGCAACGAUACGUAGCCGACCUGAGAGGGUGAUCGGCCACACUGGAACUGAGACACGGUCCAGACUCCUACGGGAGGCAGCAGUAGGGAAUUUUCCGCAAUGGGCGAAAGCCUGACGGAGCAACGCCGCGUGAGUGAUGAAGGGUUUCGGCUCGUAAAACUCUGUUAUUAGGGAAGAACAAAUGUGUAAGUAACUGUGCACGUCUUGACGGUACCUAAUCAGAAAGCCACGGCUAACUACGUG
rnacentral:rRNA from 1 species